ACAGGAGGAGGAGGAGGAGGAGGAGGGUGUGUGUUAUUGAAUGGGAGCGAAAAAGCCUCCUCGGGACGGCGCGGAGGCUGAACCCGGCUUGCUGAGCCUCCUCUCUCGGCUGGGCCCAGUGCCCCGAGCAGCCGAUGAGAUCGAGACCCCCUCCCCCUGCGGCUAGCAGGAAUGUUGCAAGGCAUGUAGCUGAAGGAUAACUCCUGACAACUGUGGUGGAAUGGAAUGAUUGGUUUCCAAACAGUGGUCCAGAAAACCCAGGAAAUUUGUAUGGGUUUCUCAGUAAGAAGAAUAGUGCUGCCCUGGGUUCCUAUUGGGAAGAAGGAUGGUGAGGCUGUCAAUGUGCUGAACCGGUGCCUGGCUACAACAAUGGACUGGAUGAGGGCUAAUCAACUGAGGCUCAAUCCAGACAAGACUGAGAUGCUGCUAGUGGGUGGUUCUUCUGACCGGAUGGUGGAUGUCCAACCUGUCCUGGAUGGGGUUGCACUCCGCCUGAAGGAGCAGGCCCCAAACCAGGACUGCUUGAGAAAGGAGGACUGUAAGACGGUUUGAUCUCUUGGAGACAUACUUUAGAACAUUUUGGUAGUAGUAACCAUAACAAUGAUCACUGUUUCAUGCUUUUUAAAAGGAAAAUUCACUCCCCCUGCACCCUCCAGACUUAGGGCCUGGUUUUUUGAAAGUAUAAUGAAUGUCUAACCACACAUAUAAUGUAUUUAACAUGCACUAUUAACAUCUGGAAUUUUGGACUGCUGGUAAUAAAAGAAACAUACUUUUUCCGUUUUCUGCUAACAAUAGACCAAAUCCAUCCAAAGUGACGAACUUCUUUAAAAUUUCAGUACAAUAAGGU